rnacentral:rRNA from 1 species
UACGAGGGGGGCGAGCGUUGUUCGGAAUUAUUGGGCGUAAAGGGUGCGUAGGCGGUUUGGUAAGUCUGAUGUGAAAUCUAUGGGCUCAACUCAUAGUCUGCAUCGGAAACUGCCGGGCUUGAGUGUGGGAGAGGUGAGUGGAAUUCCUGGUGUAGCGGUGAAAUGCGCAGAUAUCAGGAAGAACACCCGUGGCUAAGGCGGCUCUCUAGUACGGUACUGACGCUGAGACGCGAAAGCGUGGGGAGCGAACAGG